AAACCCGACUGAUAUCCAUGAGGACGAUGCGGGUUCGAUCGUGGCCUUGCUCAGUGGGUUAAAGAUCCGGUGUUGCCAUGAGCUGUGGUAUAGCUUGCAGAUGCAGCUCAGAUCCUUUGUGGCUGUGGAUGUGGCGUAGGCUGCAGCUCCGAUUAGACCCCUAGCCUGGGAAAUUGCAUAUGCCGCAGGUGCAGCCCUAAAAAAGGAAAAAGAAGCUUCUGAUAUAUUUUCUGUACAACAGAAAAAUGUCACUAAUUCAUUCCUGUUUUAAGGAACCUCAAGUAUUUGCAAAUCCAAAGUUGAAAACUAGAGUCUAAAUGCAAUGUGGUAUCCUGAUUAGAUCCGGGAACAGAAAAAGGAUUUUGGUGGAAAAACUGGUGAAAUCUGAAAUUUAGUUAUUAAUAUUGUACUUCUGUUAAUGUAUGACUUUUGACAAAUCCAUGAUUGUAACACUGGAGGGAGCUGGGUAAAGGAACCCUAUUAUUUCUGUAACUUUUUUUCUGAAGUCCAAAAUUACUUCAGAAUAAAAACUUAAGAAAAUUAAAGGAUAACCUUCUACUGAAUUUCACGGGCAUUUUUUCCCGUGUCCUAACUAGCCAUGUGGUCUCAAGCACAUCAUUUCAUCUCUCUGGAUCCGAGUUUUGCAGCUGUUUUAAAAAUCAGGAGGGUGUCCACUGCUGGCUCAGCAGGUUAAGGAUCCAGUGUUGUCACUACUCUGGCUUGAGUCACUACAGUGGUACAGGUUCAGUUUCUGGCCCAGGAACCUCGGUAUGCCACAGGCAUGGACUAAUUAACUUUUUAAAAAAGCAGGAGGGACAGGGAGUUCCUGUCAUGGCUCAGUGGUUAACGAAUCCAACUGGGAACCAUGAGGUUUCAGGUUCGAUCCCUGGCCUCGCUCAGUGGGACUCUGAUUAGACCCCUAGCCUGAGAACCUCCAUAUGCCACAGGUGCGGGCUGCCCUAGAUAAGACAGUAAAUAAAUAAAAUGCCACCUUUAAAAAAAAAAAGGGCAGGAAGGACAGAAACCCAAUCCUCUCCAACUUCCCCGUCAAGCUCUAAAAUUCUCAGAUCCUGACAUUUCUGCUGUGGCACAACGGGCUAACGACCCAACAUUGUUUCUUUGGAGGCCCCAGUUCAGUCCCUGGCCAAGCCCAGUGGGAUAUGAGUCCAGCUGUGGCAUAGGUGGCAGCCAUGGGUCAGAUUCUAUCCCUGGCCUGGGGAGCUUCAUAUACCAUGGGGGUGACCAAAGAAAAAAAAUUAUAAAUAAAUAAAAUUCUCAGAUCCUAAUACGUUUACAGCAUGAUUCAGUUUACAAGGGUUUGAUCUGCAGUGACCUCUCAUUCACCUCCCCGAGCCCCCCCAUCCAGCAUUAGCACCUACUGUGCUCCCUAAAAGUUUUUGAAACUAAACUGUCGCAUGGAGUUCCCAUCGUGACUCAGCAGUAAUGAACUUGACUAAUAUCCAUGAGGACAAGGGUUCAGUCUCUGGCUCGAUUAGUGGGUUAAAGAUCCGGCGUUGCUAUGGAGCUCCGAUGUAGAUUGCAGACUAGGCUUGGAUCUGGUGUGGCUGUGGCUAGUCAGGCAGCUGCAGCUCCAAUUCGACCCCUAGCCUGGGAACUUCCAUAUGCACGGGAGCGGCCUUAAAAAGACAUUCAACCAAUCAAUCAACUGGCUUAUACCUCUUUGUACAGUGAGGUGGUACUGUUACCUCUUUCACUCAGUUGGCCACUAGAGAGCGAAAUACUCAAAAUUUCCUCCAUAGAAAGCAAAUUCAUAUCCAUCCAGCAGAGGGGAGCGGUUCUUUCCAGGUCUGGCAUGUAAAAAAUCUCUUCCUGGUUGGGGAGGUGGGGGUCACCAUCUGUGAGCAGUUACCUCCCAUCAGUUGGGGUGCCUGGAAGCUUCCAGAAGACAGGAUGACACCACACACACACAAAGCACUCAGCAGCCUCAAAAGUAUAAACCAUGGCUAUGGAUGGGAGACUGAACUACAAACAGGCGAGCCCUACCUACUUCCUCUGAGGUCUUCUUAGAGGUCUUGUCCCAUUUUCUGAACAAUGGUCUUAACCUUUUUUUUUUUUUUGCUUUCUAGGGCAACCCCUGCAGCAUAAGGAAGUUCCCAGGCUAGGGGUUGAAUCAGAGCUGCAGCUGCCAGCCUACACCACAGCCAUAGACAUGCAGGAUCCGAGCUGUAUCUGCAACCUAUGCUGCAAUUCACGGCAACGCCAGAUCCUUUAACCCACUGAGCAAGGCCAGGAAUCAAAACCGCAUCCUCAUGGAUACUAGUCAGGUUCGUAACACUGAGCCACAAUGGGAACUCCUUUUUUUUAAAGAUCUCACUUUUAAAGGGCCAGCUACAGGAGUUCCCUUGUGGUCCAGGGGGUUAAGAAUCUGGCAUUGUCACUGCAGUGUCUCAGGCUGCUGCUAUAGUCCAGGGUUGUUGUUUUUUUGUUGUUGUUUUUUUUUUUUUGGGGGGGUUUUUUUUUUUUUUUUUUUUUGCUUUUUAGGGCCAAACCAGUGGCAUAUGGAGAUUCCCAGGCUAGGGGCCAAAUUGGAGCUGUAGCUACCAGCCUAUGCCACAGACACAGCAAUGUCAGAUCCAAGCCAUGUCUGCAGCCCACACCACAGCUCACAGCAAGGCCAGAUCUUUAACCCACUGAGCAAGGCCAGGGAUCGAACCUGCGUGUCAGAUUCGUUUCCUCUGAGCCAUGACGGGAGCUCCUGUGGUCCCCGUUUGAUCCCUGCCCUGGGAACGUCCACCUGCUGCAAGCACAGGCAAAAAAAAAGGGGGGGGGUGGCAGUUACAAAAAUUGACUAAAACCUUUACAACCAAAAUGAGAAAGCAUUAGCAGUGCAGCCCCCAGCAGCACAGGACUGAGCCUGGGCGACCUGCAAUUUUGUGUAUAGUGAAGCAUUCGAGGCCCCAGUCUGGAGACAAGCAUCCUGGGUUUAAAAUGUUGCCUCAGACCCCAGACUCCACACUCACGUGCUCACAUACACAUGAAUGUGGUCGGUGGCCCUGUGACCGUGGGCAGGUCUCUACUGCAGGAGUAACCGCAUCCACACAGCGUGGGCUGUGAGGAUGGCUGAGCGGUGACUGCUCUGAUCAGGGAACAGCCGACCUGGACCACGUCAAGAGGAGCAGAAGGGCAAGGCACUUCCAUUUCAUCGGCAUAAGAACUCUGGGGUGGACAGCACAAGAAACUUGGGCUCUGAGUUCUCUGCAAAGCGGGGCUCUUUUCCUGUAAAUGGAGUACCCGUUCUCAGGCAUGGAAAAGCACCUCCGCCUAAAAUUCUUUUUUUCUGGCCACAUCCACAGCAUGCAGAGUUCCCAGGCCAGAGAUCAAACCGAGCCACAGCAGCAAGCAGAGCCACGGCAGUGACACCACCAGAUCCUCAACCCGUUGCCCCACCCGGGAACUCCCUAAAACAGUUGUCAGUCACAGUGCCUGAGCUAUCACUUGAGUUACUCCUUAAGGCUAAGUCCUUUCAUCUCCCAGCAGAAUAACUGAAACUGAAGCCAGUGUCAAGCCUUGGGCUGCAUCGUUUAAUAGUACUUAUCACAUUAAUUUAGAAAAUUCAGAGUAGGAUCACCCCCCCCAGGGCAUAGAAUGGGAGACAGAAACAUUAAAAUAUUCCAGUAUAAACUGCAGCCUGAUGAUUUGCUGGAAAGCAGCUUGGACAGGGCAUAUCUGAGGCCUGAGAAGGGGGCAAAAAAGAACACAGGGAAAAGCAGAGGGGCAUCUGGGCACUGCUAGAAAAGUUCAAGGCACUCAAGGCUCAAAAGCUAAAAGGCCCUAAGGCUGAGUGCCCUGGGGGUGUUCGUAUCCCCAGCAAAUCACAGAAAAAGAUGACUGUCAGAAAUCCUGAGUCAGGGAGUUCCUGUCGAGGCAGAGCAGAAACAAAUCCUACUAGGAACCAUGAGGUUGAGGGUUCAAUCCCUGGCCUCACUCAGUGGGUUAAGGAUCUGGCAUUGCCGUGAGCUGUAGUGUAGGUCACAGACAUGGCUCAGAUCUGACACUGCUGUGGCUCUGGCACAGGCCUGCAGAUACAGCUCCAAUUCGACCCCGAGCCUGGAAACCUCCAUAUGGAGCAAAUGCAGCCCUAAAAAGACAAAGAAAAAAGGAUAAAGAAAAAGAAAAAAAAAAA
rnacentral:lncRNA from 1 species